UUAAAUGCAUAUUUUUCCUUUUUGUAAUUUCGUUGUCAUCGAUUUUAUUUUAUUUUAUUGAAGACGAAUCUGUUUUCAUUUCGAAACAAGAAACACUGACCUAGUUGUCGUCUGCGCAUUUUAUUUGUUUUUCUUUUACAAAGUCAAGGUCGAUCUGUUUAUAAACCGGAAGUUGUAAUAUUGAAAACGAAAGUAAACAAAACAGGUGCCCGAAAUUUCGACCGAGAUAAAUAAUUUACUACUUAACUUCUAAUUUUCAUGAUUUAAGUAAUGCAAAUUCACUGACACCAAAAGACAAACAUAAUUUGAUUCAAUUGUUGCACAUACCAGAAGCUUGCAGCCAGGAUUGAUGAUACACAUGUUCCUGGCUUUCCGGAAUGGUUCAACCUGAAAUAUGAGGAUGAUGACGAUAUAUACACGGCAAGGCUAGAAGAGGAGUUCCAGGAUGGUGACGUUUUGAUCCGUGUUUAGAAUAUAAGAAAGGUGGUGAGACAAAUGCAUCUUGACAUGCUGUUUAAUGAUUAGUGAACGACAUUAACAUAACAGAAGGGGAGCUAUUACCACAUGUUUUAAGUCAGAAUACUUGCAUUUAUGUUGUACAUUUUUUUUUGUCAGUGUGUGAUUUUACAGACAUGUUGUGUUUGACUGUAGUUUGCCAUUAUUG